AUUGAACGCUGGCGGCAUGCCUUACACAUGCAAGUCGACCGGCAGCACGGGAGCAAUCCUGGUGGCGAGUGGCGAACGGGUGAGUAAAGUAUCGGAACGUGCCCAGUCGUGGGGGAUAACGUAGCGAAAGUUACGCUAAUACCGCAUACGAUCUAUGGAUGAAAGCGGGGGAUCGCAAGACCUCGCGCGAUUGGAGCGGCCGAUAUCAGAUUAGGUAGUUGGUGGGGUAAAGGCUCACCAAGCCGACGAUCUGUAGCUGGUCUGAGAGGACGACCAGCCAGACUGGGACGGAGACACGGCCCAGACUCCUACGGGAGGCAGCAGUGGGGAAUUUUGGACAAUGGGCGAAAGCCUGAUCCAGCCAUGCCGCGUGCAGGAUGAAGGCCUUCGGGUUGUAAACUGCUUUUGUACGGAACGAAAAGGUUUGGCCUAAUAAGCUGAGCUCAUGACGGUACCGUAAGAAUAAGCACCGGCUAACUACGUGCCAGCAGCAGCCGCGG
rnacentral:rRNA from 1 species